GUUACCCUGCAAAACUCCAUAGUCACUUUUUUUUCUUCUUCUUGUUGAAUAAUCUAAAGAAAAUAGUACUAAUAAUCUAAUAUCCAUAUCAUAAUUCAUACCCCAUGUAAAGCUGACAACAUUUUGAAGCAAGUUAUGUACUGAAGUGCUGCUACGUCCCCUUUGAUUCUGAAACGAUGUCAUCACCUGACAAGAGAUCCAUUGUAUCAGAUUUGCCAGGUGGCGCCAUGUCAUUUGUCAAAGCAAUAACACACGGGUUGUUCUCUUUUAUACUAUUCAAACGUUCCCAUAGCUUUUCAGACGCAAAUAUAUCUCUCCAUGGAAGAGAAAUCCCAAGUAUCUCCACCUACAAGCACAUGUAAAAGAUAUAGAAAAACACACACACAUACGAAAGGGUAAAAAUGUAAAAUACAAGAAAGUGAAAAACAUAAUGUACCUCACCGAUAGUGACAGGGGAAGUGGUAGACUCAGAUGGGUAGAAUGUGAGAACAACCACCCGAGUAAGAAAGUCCAAAUUGCCCUCGCGACCUUCGAAAUCAUAUAAAAACGGUAGCUUAGGUUUGUGGGUAGGUGGGGUUGUUACACUUCUUGUGAACGCCAUGUCAUCGUCACUAAUGGGCCCCGGUAUUGGUAUCACCAUGUUUGUACCAUUAACACAUCUAGCAAUGGAAGCUCCCUAUA